rnacentral:lncRNA from 1 species
AAAAAACUUAUUUACUUGGCAAGUGGGCAUGUGUAUAUGUUUAUCUGUAUUUUUGUGAUUGUACAUGCAGUGUACACUAGGAGAGAAAGGGAAUAAAAUGGUAAGGCAAAAUGAUAUUAUUAUUGUAAAUUUUAGACUAUCUUUUAUAUCUCUGUCUUCUUAAAUAAAUUAUAAAACUCUUUUUUUUCCUUUUUAAGUGCCGAUGAUUGAGUUCAUGGGCACUUUGCCACUGAGCUAUUUUCCCAGUCCUUUUUUAUUUUUUGAGACAGAAUUUUACUAGAUGAAGGUUGGCCUCAAACUUGUGAUCCUUCGGCCACAGCCUCCCAAGUCACUGGGAUUAUAGUCAUGCAAAAAUGAGCCUAGCUAAAUUACAAACUAUUUUACAGUCAAUGAUUCUCAGAUAUUUUUAAAAAUUGUGGUAGACUGUAUAUAUUAAAAAUUGCAUUCAACCAUAUUUACAUCAAUUUUCAAUUUUUUUGUCACCCUAAAUAAACCUUUGUAAUCACUAAACAAUAACUCCCCAUGGAGACCAUAUGUCUCUCAAACCUAUGUAAAUAGUAACCAUAUUUUGUCAAUUAUAAUUUCAAUGUAACCUUAAGUGGGACUUUUUAAAAUUCAUGCUUCCUCUCACCCUUCCAGAUGCCCUCCUUAUUUUUCAUUUGAACUUCCUGUCUUCGCACCAUGGU